ACUUUACCUUACAAAGGAGAAGUGAAGUGGUGUUACACGAGCAUCACAUAAAAGGACAGGAGGUCCUGGAUGUCUAUGAGAGGGUCUCAUUCAAGGGUAAUGUGACGUCCAGGAAAUAUUGGAGACAACUGCUGAUG